GAUGAACGCUGGCGGCGUGCCUAAUACAUGCAAGUCGAGCGAACAGACGAGGAGCUUGCUCCUCUGACGUUAGCGGCGGACGGGUGAGUAACACGUGGAUAACCUACCUAUAAGACUGGGAUAACUUCGGGAGACCGGAGCUAAUACCGGAUCAUAUAUUGAACCGCAUGGUUCAAUAGUGAAAGACGGUUUUGCUGUCACUUAUAGAUGGAUCCGCGCCGCAUUAGCUAGUUGGUAAGGUAACGGCUUACCAAGGCGACGAUGCGUAGCCGACCUGAGAGGGUGAUCGGCCACACUGGAACUGAGACACGGUCCAGACUCCUACGGGAGGCAGCAGUAGGGAAUCUUCCGCAAUGGGCGAAAGCCUGACGGAGCAACGCCGCGUGAGUGAUGAAGGUCUUCGGAUCGUAAAACUCUGUUAUUAGGGAAGAACAAAUGUGUAAGUAACUAUGCACGUCUUGACGGUACCUAAUCAGAAAGCCACGGCUAACUACGUG
rnacentral:rRNA from 1 species